CUUGCUUUCCAGUUACGGACAGUGACUGGGUAAAUGCAGUUAGGGUCGUCUCCUACCUCGGCCGCUAAAAAAAACUCCGCCGCUGGAUUAGUCACUUGCCGGCGGAGCUAUGCGGCGAUUCUCGUGGGCGACAAGGCGAACGGAACCGGUGGACGCCAAUUAAUAGCCGUUCUGGAAGAGGUAAAUAACAGCAAAUAUUUUGAUGCAAGCCGCUGCACUACCCAGUGGCGCGGCCGGCUGAGGAGCCGGUGGCGCCUAUGGUGGAAGUAGGUGUGGACGGCCAGAUCUGUGCGGCGGAAGGGGCGGCGGAUGCAGGUCAAAAAGGGUUGCCGAGAGUGUCAGAGCAGUCAAUUGGAUAGAUCGACCCUAGAGCUCCUGGCCGGAAAAUAAGGGUGAGGGUAGGUGCUACUACCCCAGGAAGGACGCCAUGUCCUAACCAGACUACUGCUCUGGAGAAGGCUAUCCAUGGUUUCGCCGACAAUCCUGGGGACAAUGUCAUAGUGCCAGCUUUGGGUACAACCUUUGAUUCUGUGCGUGAAGCAUACAACUUCUACAACCUGUGUUCGUGGAGAAAGGAUUUGGCAUUAGAUACGGCGAAAGCAGGCUAAAUGUGGAGAGGACAACAUGCAUGCAGGCAAUUGUUUGCGGCUGUGCGGGAAAGGCGGGGUUGAGAACAGUAGGUCGUGUCAUUGCGAUUGCCUUGCUCUCAUCAGGUUGUUGCGGUCCAAAGACAAUGGUUGGUACAUAGCAGAACGCCAUGAGGAGCACAACCACAGAAGCUGAUCUGUGGCACAUGAGGUUCACUUUCAGGUUGUGCAAAUGGAGACAAUUCAUUCUGUUAGGUCGAUACUUCGAGGAGCUACUACUCAUUUUGGUCAAAAAGGGUUGAAUUGCUGAGACGACAUGUGUGGAGAGGGGCGACUCUAUUGACGACGAUGGAGUUCCCGAUGCGACCCAUGAGCAGGUAACAUCAGUAUCAUUUUGAGAAGCAGGGUGUUUUAAUUCACGAUUUCUUGAUUGCUUGCUUUUUUUCUUGCGAUGGAGGGAUUGGAUGAGAGCGCAACCCCGAUGGAAUAGGCAGCGUUCGCGGUGGUUCAUUUGGCCAUGAGUGCGGACAAGCAGGUCCGUGAGGAAGACAGAGUAAAAGGUGUGAGACGAGAGGCGUCGCUGCCGGAGUCCGAGAUGUCCAUCGGGAAGAUGAACCUACAGGCAUCUGGUUGGGUUAAGGGGUGUGUUUCCCUAAAUCUAUCAAACCAGUAUGCAUUGCUGAAUUUUUGUUGUUGAGGGAUUAGCAGUGAUGUUGUCAUAUGUGUAUUGACAUCCCCUUGGUGUUCAGAACAUUCAGACAAGUAGUUGAUGUUGUUCUUAAGUAGUGUACGGUUAUGAAUGGAUGAUGGUCUAUCCAGCUUGGAGCGUGUUGUUACUAACUCGAAGGUUGUUGUACAA